GCUGGGCGCAGUGGCCCUCACCUGUAAUCCCAGUGGCUCUGGAGGCUGAGGCAGGAGGAUCACAAGUCCAAAGCCAGCUUCGGCCAUGGCGAGGAGCUAAGCAACUCAGUGAGACCCUGUCUCUA
rnacentral:sRNA from 1 species